CAGACAGUAACUGGUGGGGUCACGUUAUUGGUACGCCGACGCAGAUGUGGCAUGGUGCUGUCUUAGCUAAGGAGGUCCUCCCUGCUAGUUUACUAAAUGAUUUCUUGAACAGAUAUUGGGUUGACACUCUCGCCGGACCAGUGUGGAACCCUGCAGACCAUACUGAUACAAUGGCAGGUGGAAACUUUGCCCCACGAGCGAUGAUGGCGGAGGUUGAGGGGCUUCUACGUGGCACUGCCGAUGAAGUACACGCCCAGGUGGAGGAAGGAAUGAUGCGGGAGUUUGUCGCAAGGGAAGCCUGGGGAAGAAACGGGCUCAGACCGGACGGCUGCCUUCACCAGCACACGGUGCAGGGUGACUAUGUCACGGAGCACGGCUACCUCGACCACUCACUCAGUCUCGUCUACAAUGCCAACUACGGGGCUGAACUUCUGAAGGUAUAGUGGAC